UCGGGAAACCGAGGUUAAUACCGGAUACUCCAUAUUUGUCGCAUGGGCGGAAUAUGGGGAAAAGGCUCCGGCGGCAAAGGAUGGGCCGCGGCCUGUUAGCUAGUUGGUGGGGUAGUGGCCUACCAAGGCAAUGAUGGGUAGCCGGGUUGAGAGACCGACCGGCCAGAUUGGGACUGAGACACGGCCCAGACUCCUACGGGAGGCAGCAGCU
rnacentral:rRNA from 1 species